AAAAGACGACAUUGAAGUCAAAGUCAUUCCAGGUUUUGAAAUAUUUAAUAGUGAAGACGAAUGUGACAUUGUUGGAGGGGUCUGCCAUUUGAAUGCCUACAACCCUGGGAAGUGUUGGAGUCUUCGUUAUAUACCGCUUGGAUACUGCAUCCCAAAAGGUGUUUGCUGUAAAAGGCCAGACAGCUCCUUGCCAGAAAACCUUCACCUUAUGUAUUAAGGCCAGCCGGACUGCCUCAAGGACUAUUCACCAUCUGAAGGAACACAAUGGAAUAUUGGCAAAGUAAUAAAUGAAAUGUAGUUGUGCUAAUGCAAA